rnacentral:rRNA from 1 species
UGACCUCAAAUCAGGUAGGACUACCCGCUGAACUUAAGCAUAUCAAUAAGCGGAGGAAAAGAAACUAACAAGGAUUCCCCUAGUAACUGCGAGUGAAGCGGGAAAAGCUCAAAUUUAAAAUCUGGCAGUCUUUUGGCCGUCCGAGUUGUAAUCUAGAGAAGUGUUAUCCGCGCUGGACCGUGUACAAGUCUCCUGGAAUGGAGCAUCAUAGAGGGUGAGAAUCCCGUCUUUGACACGGACUGCCAGGGCUUUUGUGAUGCGCUCUCGAAGAGUCGAGUUGUUUGGGAAUGCAGCUCAAAAUGGGUGGUAAAUUCCAUCUAAAGCUAAAUAUUGGCGAGAGACCGAUAGCGAACAAGUACCGUGAGGGAAAGAUGAAAAGAACUUUGGAAAGAGAGUUAAACAGUACGUGAAAUUGCUGAAAGGGAAACGCUUGAAGUCAGUCAUGUUGUCCAGGGAUCAACCUUGCUUUUGCUUGGUGCACUUUCUGGUUCGACGGGUCAGCAUCAAUUUCGACCGUUGGAAAAAGAUCAGGGGAAUGUGGCAUCUCUGGAUGUGUUUAUAGCCCUUGGUUGCAUACAAUGGUUUUGGGAUUGAGGAACUCAGCACGCCGCAAGGCCGGGUUUUAAACCACGUACGUGC